rnacentral:lncRNA from 1 species
GAAUACAGUAAACAGCACCGGACAGUGGUAUUUACCUUCACUGUUCUUAGCAAAGUUCAGCUUUAUAAGGGAUUUGGCAUCUAGUUUUUCUCCUGUGAUUGGAUUGGUUCCGUACUUCUUUAUCCAAGGAACGAUGCUUAGUAUGUCAAAGACUGUCCCAUCUGGUGUACAAACGGGGUAUUCAAACGGCUGCAGAGACAAACUGCAGUGAUCAAACGAUAUACGCCUGAAGUUAGCUCGGGGAUGGUCCGCCUUCUUGCCGCCGUAGAACUGCGUGUACUCGGCGCAGGUGAUGUACAUUUUGUCCUUCUGGUGCUGCCGCUUCCCCAUGGCCGCGUCCCGCCGUCCGGAGCUGCGUGAGGACCCCCUUUGGCCGCGCUCCUUCCGGUGCGGUGCAGCAGCGAACGGCUCCGCAGGAAACACGGGCGGCGCGCGGCGUUCCGGGGCGGCACCACAGCGGCCGUGCGGGGCGGGGAGCAAAGCGAGCGGCAAACCUCGGGCGGCGCGUGACGUGCGGACGGCUCUCGUAGUCCUUCACGGAGCCUUUAAGACUUAACGACAAAGGGCCGAUCUUCUCCUAGCUAAUUACUUUCGAAACGGAACGCUGAAGCCCCGUUAAACGGCGUUACCAGAGAGCACGGCCAUCUCUCGGCCCGGCGCCGCCCGUCACGGGGUCCGGAGCGCGAGGACAGCCGUUGCGCGCGCGGGCAUCGGGCGGGAACGGCACGCGGGAACGGCACGCGGCAGCGCCCCGCCGCGCGGGGAGGAACGGCGCGCUCGCUUCUUUGCCAGAAGCAGGCGCGGCUUUCCGAACAGAACCGGCUGGCCGAUGGAGGCCGAGGGCAAUAACAAAACCACCGCAGAAGCGAACUGCGGGCGGCGCGCGGCACCGUCCCGCUGUUACGGAGUCCCACAGAAGGAGCGGGGCCGCGGCUGGGUGAAGCUCAGCCCGAGCUGCAGCGCCGACCCUUCCCGCAGCCGGCCGCGUGUCCGAGCUCCGCGGGGAAGAAGGAUCGCCCGGAGAGCGCGGUUCACGUUCACUCCUGCGCGCGUUCUCGCGAUUCGGCACGAUGAGCAGCGCCGGAGAUGCCCGUUGCCCGCCCUCCGUAAGGACAAUUCAAGGCCACGUUCCUGCUGUGCUGUUUUUUAAACCAAUGCAGUCUUCAUUUAUUUGUGUACUUACAAAAAGAGCCUCCCGUCGUUCCCUCCCACCCCCCGAUGCCGUUUACAAACAUUAAAAAUUAAAAACCAGAUGAGGACGCGUUAAUUUGGUUGAAUUAUUUUGAGACGUAGCUGUUGUCAUUAGAGUUAGGUUUCCUACGAGAUGACUUUAGAGACAGCCUGAUGAUUGGCCAAAUAAAACUCCGUAUCACAAGUUAGCAAAUUCUAGUACAAAAAUAGUCCUUGUGUUAGACCAGCCUCUUGGUAUUAUUACUAUAUUCACAGGAAAGUCGAUCGGCUGCAUAAUCCCAUAAUAUUUAUGAAACUCCUUUUUAUGCGGCUCACUCAUCUAAUUCAAUAUAGUGUUGAGCCUCAAUAAAUCCUUAGGCAAAAAAACCCCAACAGGGUUAAAUACGCUGUUCAGUGUACUCUGAAGUACUGUGCUUUUCACAGGACAUCCAAGAAACCCCACCAACACUUCUCAGCUGAUUUUGAUAUUAGAAGGAAAUCAGAUCCAAAAGGACCCCCCCGAAGUACACACACACCUUUCCGUAGAAACAGAGGCCACAGCUCUGAUGGUCACGUUUCACUUGGGAAGCUGUCUGUGCUCAACCGCUCCUCCCCACAGAUCCACU